CCUACGGGGGGCAGCAGUGAGGAAUAUUGGUCAAUGGGCGAGAGCCUGAACCAGCCAAGUCGCGUGAGGGAGUACUGCCCUAUGGGUUGUAAACCUCUUUUGUCGGGGAGCAAAAGCCGGACGUGUCCGGCUGUGAGAGUACCCGAAGAAAAAGCAUCGGCUAACUCCGUGCCAGCAGCCGCGGUAAUACGGAGGAUGCGAGCGUUAUCCGGAUUUAUUGGGGUGAAAGGGUGCGCAGGCGGAUUUUUAAGUCAGCGGUCAAAUCGUGGGGCUCAACCCCAUCCAGCCGUUGAAACUGGGGAUCUAGAGUGUGCGAGAGGUAUGCGGAAUGCGUGGUGUAGCGGUGAAAUGCAUAGAUAUCACGCAGAACCCCGAUUGCGAAGGCAGCAUACCGGUGCACAACUGACGCUCAGGCACGAAAGCGUGGGUAUCGAACAGGAUUAGAUACCCGGGUAGUC
rnacentral:rRNA from 1 species